rnacentral:tRNA from 1 species
GGGACGUUAGCUCAGUCGGUAGAGCAGCGGACUUUUAAUCCGUUGGUCGAGCGUUCGAAUCGCUCACGACCCACCA